rnacentral:rRNA from 2 species
ACACAGGUGGUCAGGUAGAGAAUACUCAGGCGCUUGAGAGAACUCGGGUGAAGGAACUAGGCAAAAUGGUGCCGUAACUUCGGGAGAAGGCACGCUGGCGGUAGGUAAAGUCCCUUGCGGACGGCGCCCAAGCCAGUCGAAGAUACCAGCUGGCUGCAACUGUUUAUUAAAAACACAGCACUGUGCAAACACGAAAGUGGACGUAUACGGUGUGACGCCUGCCCGGUGCUGGAAGGUUAAUUGAUGGGGUCAGCCG